AGUCAGGAUUUUCUCUCUCCCUUUCUUAAAGACAUCCAUAAUAUUUCGUUGAUGCUUUGCAUCCAAACUGAGUAGUUAUGCUUUUGCAUAUCAUUAGAGUUUUAUAAAGAACAACAGCGACAUCUGCAUGUGCCGCAGCGCCAGGGAGAUAGGAAAAAUACCGAAAACAAACUCUGUAUUGGCUUGGAGGCUGUCUGGCUCUCUGCCUCCCCAGCAGCUCCUGCCACCACCAUGGAUAGGAGUAAUUGUACACUGUAAUCACAUCUUGCCUAAUCUGAAUAUUCAUAGCAGAGACAAAGCUUUGGAGGAUAAGGGAGGAGCAGGGAUAAUUUAAAUAUAAAACAGCAUCUCAUUUUCAAAUCAAGUUGUGCCAGUUAGACUGCACCAGAAUUCAGUAUUAACCAACAUUGUUUUUUAUAGUUUGGAAAUUGGAAGUGAAGAAGAUAAAGGAGAAGAGACUAGAUAAAGAAAGAGUGAUAUUAUAUUCUCAUUCUUGACUGAGGAAAAACAAAAUGAGGCAACAACAACAAUAGCAACAGAAUAAAAAUACUUAAAGCGAUAUCUGAAGAGUGGCUAACCAGCCGCUGUUUUACCAGGAAUGAAAUAGCCUAUUGAGGGAGCUUUAAAAGCUCCCAAUUAAUAUGUUGUGCAUGUAUUAGAUCUACAAAGAACUCACUGUAUUCCUUCUCUCCCCACAGAUUCCCCCCAGUACACACAUAUUCCCUAACCACCACCUUUCUUUCCUGUCGGGUGCAGAAGGAAAAGAUCAGAGCUACAGAAUAAUUGACUAAUCGCUUCAAAAGUGACAACAUCCCUCUUCAAAAAGAAAGGACAAAAACAAACACAUACAAAAAGCGCCUGCCCCUGGCUCAGCGCCCGGUGCCAACAGAACACCUUUCAGGAUCCACAGCAACGCAGACAACGAGUCCAGGAUCCCGGCCUCUGCUUGGAACAGAACAGUGUCAUGGCGGAGACGACGGCCUUUGUCUUGCUGGGUGUGAAAGCAUCCGCUGUGCUGGCUCCAUUGCGGCAGAAUCAAGUUUAAAGGAAAAAAGUUAUGAAGAAGAAGGUUACCACUUUCCUAAAUAUCACGGGCAAAGGAGUUUUUAUUUUUUUAAGGAAAAAGUUCCGUAAAGUUCCUUUCUCUAUAUCAUUGUUAUGUUUUGUUGCUAGUCCUCUUGAUUCAGAUGAGUUAUUUCUAGUGAAAAAUUUCUAAGAAAGUAGAUACAUUGUAAUUAAAAACAAAAUUCAUACGAAAGCUCUUUGCUUUUUUGUUUCUAUGUGUAGAUUUUUGCUUUCUGUCCCCUUCACCCCAAUCCCCUGUAGAAAAUGAAAACAAUUGAUAUUGUAUUUGGGAAGGAGACAGGCAAAGCUAGAAACUUGAUGCUUUCACCUUUUCAUGCUUUCAUUUUAUUUCAUUUUGUUUUUUAAAAGCAUGCAGCAAGUGAAGCGACAAGAGGAAUCCAUUAUGCAAAUCGUGUCACUUUGCAUAAUGUCUCAUGACUGGAAUAUGCAAAUGAGCUGUAUAAUUUAUGAGUGCCAGUGUCUGUCUAAAAGUGUUUCACACAAUUUACAAAGUGAGCCUGAGAGACAUGGGGAAGGCAGCUCUUCCAACUCCAUUGCCAAGAAAGCUAUAUAUUUUCCUACAAGUGUUCUCUAGUAAUAUUAAGUGCUACUUAAAAGAAAUUAAGGAUGCAAAUGUUUAUGAAAGAUGAAUAUUUUCCUUUCACUGCCUUCACCCAAAUUCUUUGCCUAAAAGUUAGUAAGAAACUAUGAGACUCUAAAGCAUUAAUUUUUAGAUUCAACUUGGAAAAGAAAAAUUAUUUGAGACAAACUUGAUAUUUGUAUAUGGAUUCCUUUUUUUUUUCU